UACGAAGGGGGCUAGCGUUGUUUCGGAUUUACUGGGCGUAAAGCGCACGUAGGCGGAUCGAUCAGUCAGGGGUGAAAUCCCAGAGCUCAACUCUGGAACUGCCUUUUGAUACUGUCGAUCUGGAGUAUGGAAGAGGUGAGUGGAAUUCCGAGUGUAGAGGUGAAAUUCGUAGAUAUUCGGAGGAACACCAGUGGCGAAGGCGGCUCACUGGUCCAUUACUGACGCUGAGGUGCGAAAGCGUGGGGAGCAAACAGG
rnacentral:rRNA from 1 species